CCCACUUCCUUCGGAGCCCAAAACGGAGACGCCGUAGACUAAUCACACCUCCACGGAGAGUGUCAUGCCUCUCGUGCCAAGACGACAUGCCUGUGGUACCCCCACAGGUGGUUAUAGCUCAGGUAUACCCUACGGUAUAUUCUAACAAAAUACCAUGUCACAACACAUGCGACAUAAUACCAACAAAAAGGGUUCUAUAUGUACAUGUUGAACCAAAUCAAAUUCUAGUCACAAGGUUUCAAAAAGAAGGUAGCAACAUGUACCGCUCUACAAUUAUCAAAAAUAAAUACUAA
rnacentral:lncRNA from 1 species